rnacentral:rRNA from 1 species
UCAGUCGACUCCUACGGGGAGGCAGCAGUGGGGAAUAUUGCACAAUGGGGGAAACCCUGAUGCAGCCAUGCCGCGUGUGUGAAGAAGGCCUUCGGGUUGUAAAGCACUUUCAGUAGGGAGGAAGGUAGUGUAGUUAACACCUGCAUUAUUUGACGUUACCUACAGAAGAAAGCACCGGCUAACUCCGUGCCAGCAGCCGCGGUAAUACGGAGGGUGCGAGCGUUAAUCGGAAUUACUGGGCGUAAAGCGCAUGCAGGCGGCCUGUUAAGUCAGAUGUGAAAGCCCGGGGCUUAACCUCGGAAUUGCAUUUGAAACUGGCAGGCUAGAGUCUUGUAGAGGGGGGGUAGGAAUUUCAGGUGUAGCGGUGAAAUGCGUAGGGAUCUGAAGGAAUACCAGUGGCGAAGGCGGCCCCCCUCGGACAAAGACUGACGCUCAGAUGCGAAAGCGUGGGGAGCAAACAGGAUUAGAUACCCUGGUAG